CAAAGGUCACUUAGGGACUAUUAAAGAGAGAGACAGAGGAAAGAGCACUGUUUCUAAUCAGCAGUUCAUUAAUAGUAACAACAUUGAAGAUAUAAUUACAAGAAUGCAGGAUGACAAAGCAGGUGGAGUUCCUAUCCGAACAGUCAAGAGCUUUCUGUCUAAAAUCCCCAGCGUUGUCACAGGUACUGACAUUGUGCAGUGGCUCAUGAAGAACCUCAGCAUCGAGGACCCAGUGGAAGCAAUACACAUGGGAAGUCUUAUAGCAGCACAGGGCUAUAUCUUUCCAAUCUCAGACCAUGUUCUUACCCUGAAAGAUGAUGGGACCUUCUAUCGCUUUCAGGCCCCAUACUUUUGGCCUUCAAACUGCUGGGAACCAGAAAAUACAGACUAUGCCAUCUAUCUUUGCAAGCGGACCAUGCAGAACAAAGCUAGGCUGGAGCUGGCGGAUUAUGAAGCCGAAAACCUAGCAAGACUGCAGAGAGCUUUUGCAAGGAAGUGGGAAUUCAUCUUUAUGCAAGCAGAGGCCCAAGUGAAAAUUGACAGAAAAAAGGAUAAAACUGAAAGGAAAAUUUUGGACAGCCAAGAAAGAGCAUUUUGGGAUGUGCACAGGCCAGUGCCAGGCUGCGUGAACACAACAGAAAUGGACAUCAGAAAGUGUCGCCGUAUGAAAAACCCACAGAAGGUCAAAAAGUCAGUAUAUGGGGUUACAGAAGAUUCUCAAUCCCAAAGCCCUGUACAUAUGCCGUCCCAACCCAUACGAAAAACUACAAAAGAGGACUUCCGAAAAAAAAUAACCUUUCUGAAUGUGCAGAUAGACAGACACUGUUUAAAAAUGUCCAAAGUAGCUGAAAGUUUAAUAACUUACUCAGACCAGUACAUUGAAUAUGAUCCAUUUAUAACUCCUGCUGAACCUUCCAAUCCCUGGAUAAGUGAUGACUCUACUUUAUGGGACAUAGAAAUGAGCAAAGAGCCCAGCCAACAACGUGUGAAAAGAUGGGGCUUCUCUAUAGAUGAGGUGCUGAAGGAUCCAGUGGGGCGAGACCUGUUCCUUCGUUUUCUGGAGUCCGAAUUCAGUUCAGAAAACCUCAGGUUUUGGUUGGCUGUCCAAGAUCUCAAAAGACAACCUUUGCAGGAUGUAGCCACCAGAGUGGAGGAAAUCUGGCAAGAGUUUCUAGCUCCAGGGGCACAAAGCCCUAUCAACCUGGACUCUCACAGCUAUGAGAGAACAAGUCAAAACGUCCAAGACCCGGGAAGAUACACAUUUGAAGAUGCCCAGGAGCACAUUUACAAGUUGAUGAAGAGUGACAGCUACGCACGUUUCCUCCGUUCUAACACGUACCAAGACUUAUUGCUGGCGAAGAAGAAGCCAGAGAAUGAGCAAGGUCGUAGAACUUCUCUAGAAAAGUUCACUCGCAGUGUGGGAAAGUCUCUGGCAGGCAAGCGCCUCACAGGCCUGAUGCAAUCCUCCUGACAGCCUCAGCCGGACAAGCAAUUGCUGACAUCCCUGAAGGACAGCUGCACUCCACCUCCAUGGAGGAAGUUUCAUUUUGGGGAGAAUGGGUCACUGUGAGAGAGAUCGUGAAUGAGAGCAAGGGGAGACAAAGGAGCGCAAGGUGGAGAGAUCAGCUCACCGGAGGAUCCCAUUGGCUCUCGCAGCAGCAAUCCUGCUACGUUACAGUGUGUCGCGUGUUCCAACUACCUCACCAGUCUGAAGAUGAGUUAGGAAAGCAGCUUUCCACCCCCAUGCAUGCGCUAAAUGAAGUUGUUUCAGGGAAAGACCUUAUGCCAAUUAGCAAGGUGGAGGGCUUCUAAAAUCUCAGUAGCAUGGAAGCUGUUUAUAAAGCUUCCCGUGAAAUAUGGCUGUAAAGAUGUCUUUGGAUAACACAGGUGCUACUGGAUAUUGUAGUAGAGUAGUAUCAGAACAAGACAGAAAGAAGGUUUCACAAGACAGUACAGCCAAAUGUUAGACUAAGGCAAUAAUAAGCUACCCAAGGCUAGUGCAGCAAAGUACUCUCAGUGUAUAAGGUACCACAGAAUCCUGCAGUAAAGUGGUAUCUGGACAAUGCAACCAUAAGAUGUCACAGCAUUCCAGUAUAUAAUAAUACCGGAAUAAAUGUAGCAAUAAGUUAACACAGGACACUGAAGUAAGGUAGUAUUAGGAUAAUGCAUCAAUAAGGCACCA